rnacentral:rRNA from 1 species
UACAGAGGUGGCAAGCGUUGUUCGGAAUUACUGGGCGUAAAGGGCGCGUAGGCGGCUUUCUAAGUCAGACGUGAAAUCCCCCGGCUUAACCUGGGAACUGCGUCUGAUACUGGAGGGCUUGAGUGCGGGAGAGGGAUGUGGAAUUCCAGGUGUAGCGGUGAAAUGCGUAGAUAUCUGGAGGAACACCGGUGGCGAAGGCGGCAUCCUGGACCGACACUGACGCUGAGGCGCGAAAGCUAGGGUAGCAAACGGG